rnacentral:rRNA from 1 species
UACCAGCUCUCCAAGUUGUAGGGAUGAUUAUUGGGCUUAAAGCGUCCGUAGCUGGCUUAGCAAGUCUCCUGUUAAAUUCAGCGACCUAAUCGUUGAGCCGCGGGAGAUACUACUAGGCUAGGAGGCGGGAGAGGUCGACGGUACUUUCGGGGUAGGGGUGAAAUCCUAUAAUCCCGGGAGGACCACCAGUGGCGAAGGCUGUCGACUAGAACGCGCUCGACGGUGAGGGACGAAAGCUGGGGGAGCGAACCGGAUUAGAUACCCGGGUAGUCCCAGCUGUAAACUAUGCGGGCUAGGUGUUGGGGUGGCUACGGGCCACUUCAGUGCCGCAGGAAAGCCAUUAAGCCCGCCGCCUGGGGAGUACGGCCGCAAGGCUGAAACUUAAAGGAAUUGGCGGGGGAGCACCACAAGGCGUGAAGCUUGCGGUUC